rnacentral:rRNA from 1 species
GAUGAACGCUGGCGGCGUGCCUAAUACAUGCAAGUCGAGCGAACGGACGAGAAGCUUGCUUUUCUGAUGUUAGCGGCGGACGGGUGAGUAACACGUGGAUAACCUACCUAUAAGACUGGGAUAACUUCGGGAAACCGGAGCUAAUACCGGAUAAUAUUUUGAACCGCAUGGUUCAAAAGUGAAAGACGGUCUUGCUGUCACUUAUAGAUGGAUCCGCGCUGCAUUAGCUAGUUGGUAAGUUAACGGCUUACCAAGGCAACGAUGCAUAGCCGACCUGAGAGAGUGAUCGGCCACACGGGAACGGAGACACGGUCCAGACUCCUACGGGAGGCAGCAGUAGGGAAUCUUCCGCAAAGGGCGAAAGCCUGACGGAGCAACGCCGCGUGAGUGAUGAAGGUCUUCGGAUCGUAAAACUCUGUUAUUAGGGAAGAACAUAUGUGUAAGUAACUGUGCACAUCUUGACGGUACCUAAUCAGAAAGCCACGGCUAACUACGUG